rnacentral:lncRNA from 1 species
UACAUUCCAAGAAAAUGUAGUCCACAUACGAAUAUAUGGAUCAGUACCAUGGAAACAUACCGAGCAUAUGGGGGUGCAAUGCAUAUAUAAAAUAAUAUCUUAAUAUCAUCACAGUUUAUAAAAUUACGCAUGCUAAUAUAAAUGACUCACUUAGCUCGAAUUAAAAUCAUCAUAAUCAUAAGAGAGUAAAAUAUAUUGGGUGAACAUGUGAGUCAUCAUAAUAAAUCUCAAUUCACUUCCAUCUCAAUUCCAAAUCAUCAAAGCAAUCAAAUCUCAUAACAAUUCUCCUUGGAACAUAUGUUCAUUAAAUCUUUCAAAAACAAUGACUUUCUCAAACUCAGUCUUUCAAACAAAUAUGUUUUUAUCUCAGAUAAAAGAAUAAGACUUUUCAUAUUAGAUAGGAGAAUACACACACACACAUUGGGAGAUCU